UCAGAAAUCAUUUAAUGCAAACUUCUUCAUUUUGCAGGUGAAAAAAUUCAACCUAGAGAAUUUAUAUAACUAAAUAAAUCCUUUUUAGACAUCUCAAAUUGCCUUAGGCAACUCAAACAACAGAUAAGCAAAAUAGCAUUGGGUUUUAUUGUGUCAAACCCUCUCCCUUUUCCCAAUUUGCUGAUACCUUUAAGAAUACCACCAUUUUCCCAUUCACCCAGGCUUACAAGGUCACUGUCAUCUUUAAUUUGUCAUAUCCACCCAACAUAUCCAAAAUGUUGUUAAAUUAUGUCACUUCUACUUUUGCAACAUCUUUUGUCUAUGUUCCCUUCUUCCUACUCAUGUGGCUACUACUACUCUUGCAUAGGCCCUCAUUAUUUCAUACCUGAAAUAUGACAAUAUCCUCUACUUUGUUGUUUUCCUGCCUCAAAUCAUUCCAUACUUGAAUACAUUCUUCAAUCAGCUACCAAAGUUGUUUCCCUAAAACAGAGAUUUGAUCAUGUCACUCCCUCCCCCUCUCCAGUAAAUUGCAGUGGUUAUUUAUUACCUCUAGUAUCAAAUAUAAACUUCAUUAUUUGGUAUUUAAAUCUUUUUGCAACCUGUCCUCUUAUCAUCUUUAUAGUCUUCUCACACUUAACUCACUUGGAUAAAUUUUAUAAUUCAAUCUUCUGAAUAUUACUCAAAUAUGACAUUCUCUCUCUACAACAUGACUUUUUGCCUGGCUGUGCCCUAUGCCUGAAAGAUUCUUUCUCCUCACUUCUAUUUCCUAGCUUCUCAUGCACCUUUCAAUAUUCAAGGCAAACUCUUCCUUCUGCAAGACAUCUUGAUCCCUCCACCCUCUUCCCUCUUGUAUUUAUACAUCUUAAAUGUACACAGAAAUUUUCAUCUUGUUUUCAUAAGAAUUUGAGCUUCUUGAAGGUAGAGACCAUAUUUUUUUAAACUUUUAUUUAUCUCUUCAUACAUACUUAACUGACUAACUUUCCCAUAGUUACUCAGUUUUUCAUGUCAGUUAGGAUUUGAAUCUAGACUCUCACUUUAGAGUCUCACUUUAAAGUCACCCAUUUCUCCCCCUAGAAAACCAUCCCAGAUAAUUUCUUCUCCAUGACUGCCCUGCCAUUUUGCCCACAGCUAUCAUCAUCCUAGAUUCCCAGCCUUUGAUUAACUUUUGUGUCCAGAACAGGUUUGGGUCUCUUGAGCACACCACCCGGAACAACUUCCCAAUUAACCUUCUACAGGACAAUGAGACUUUGAUUACAUAUAAUCCUAGAGUAUCUUUAUUUGUUCUAUAAUUUAAUAGUACACCUAUAAAAUAAUUACAUUAUACUUAUAGCUUUUUUCUUCAUUUGUAAAACAAAAAACACAAACAAUUAAAUACAGUUUGAACCAUUAUAAGGUAAACUUAGUUUUUACAUACAAUAAUCUCCAGAAAGGGCUUCACACUGCAGCAUAUCAUAUUGCUUUUAUUGAUACCCCUGGAGAGUGUGCACGUUUGUGUUGUGUUUAUGUAUAGCUUAAUCUGCAUGAUCUUCUGCUAACUUGGUCACAGGGAUUGGCUUUAUAAGAGAGUCUCAAAAAGAUGCCCAUGUAGGCAUCUCAGAACUACUUCCUUACAUAACUUUUCUGCUGACCUUCAUAAUCUCAGAAUUUUACUUUUAGUACAACACUAGGUAUAAGAAUGUCGGUUCUGAAGUUAGGUAGGAUUUGCCCAUGCUCCUCCCUCUGCUGCUCUCAUCUGCCUAUUUUUACCCUUACUCCCUAGCUACCUUACCAAUAUUGUAAUUUAGUGCUGCUCCUUUAGGGGCCACCAUGUGUUUAAUUGAGAAGCAUGUCAAAGGCUGGUGUGGAAGUCAACUAUCUUUUCAGUACUACAUUCCCCAUCCUCAUAAAUACAAAUCAUUGAUAGAAAUUAAAGCAGUGAGGCUGGGAAAGGAAGCAGCAUAUUGACUUCUAGAUCCCUAGGCUUCCCCCUGAAAUCCUGUAAAGACCCUUUUAAAUUCAAUAGAUGAAUUCCAGAAAAAUUAUCCUCACAGUUUUAGACAGUAUUUCUCUCAUGGAACAGGGAACUAAGUCAUUGUGAACUUCCUUAGCAGGAAUGUCUUAACAAUUUAAACUGCAGAAACAAGAGGAUCACUUCUUGAGAAAUUACUCAAAAUUGUUUCAGAAGAUGCUAAGUCCAAUAAAGAUGCAACUCUUUCCCAUCUGUAAGAGUUUAUAAAUACUCUUUCUCACAAACAGAAAUAGGGUAUUGUUGCAACCUAAAAAAGAA
rnacentral:lncRNA from 1 species